AUGGCCAAAUUUGGCAAUCAUGAAUUUUCACUGAGACAGGCGACAGUAACGAGAGAAGCGGAGCUCGCUGAGUUCUUACUUUUCACGCGAGAUGCAAUUGUGCUAUUUGAAACGCAGAACAGCCGUGGCUGCGCGGAAAAAACGAAGACUUUAUCAAGGCGCGCGGUUAUGACUGACUUUAAAAAUGCAAAAGUAAACAAUAGUGAUGAUAUUCAAAAAAUUGAUAAGAAAAGCCUCCAAGGGAGGAUACAUUUCAAAAGGUGGUUUUGGAUUCUUUUAUUUGGAAAAAUGAGGAAGAAUGUAUAAGUUUACCUAAGUUGAGGAAUGCAUUGAGCAAUGAACUUAGUCGUUAUUUAUGGUUUUCAAGACGGAUGGACCAUUUAUUUACCAUUUUAUGCGGUGACCUACCUGGUAAAUCGCCACUUGAGAUUCGGAAUAUGAAGAAAGAAAAUUUUCCAGAAUACGCCAAAUUUUUUGCCGACGACAUUCGGAAAGCAGUAUUGCAUUUCCUGAUCAAUGUGUAUUCUUCAGAGGAGUUACUUGAGGCUUAAUGAUAUAAAUAAAUCAAACCAGUGAUAAAACAAGUUUCUUUUCUUCUCAACAAAAAUCGAGAUUUUCUGUAUCUCACAUCCAUUACCUAUCCAAUAGUAUCUUAUACCUUGUCUUGUGCUUGUCUUCUUAUUGUAAGCUUGAUCUAAUAUAAUGACCGAUUAGUUAUUAUUCUGGGUAAGAGGCUCUGAGCUACUGCACCCUCAUCAGAUUGGCUUCUCUUUUGAUAGGAGGUCAUAUCAUUUAUUAAUUCAUAGGUUUUAAUAUUCCAAAAAUAUACUCUUUGAUGUUUUAACGACUCCUGUUUCAAUCACUUUUAAAAGUACGGCAUACUAUAAUGUAUGGAAUAGAUGAACUAAAAAACCAUACUUUCCGAAAAAUUACUUAUUUUGAUAGGUUUUUUAAAUACCUAUUCCCAGUUUGCAAUUAGUGUUCCUUUAGAUUUCCUGUAAGCAAAACAGAAAACUUUUCCUGUCAAAUCUAACAGGCUUACUGUUCAGAUUGUUUCAGCGAAAUAAACAUCAUAAUU
rnacentral:lncRNA from 1 species